rnacentral:rRNA from 1 species
UGGGGAAUAUUGGACAAUGGGCGCAAGCCUGAUCCAGCAAUACCGCGUGGUGUGUCUGAAGGCCUUCGGGUUGUAAAGCACUUUUAUCAGGAGCGAAACGCUGUCGGUUAAUACCCGGCGGAACUGACGGUACCUGAGGAAUAAGCACCGGCUAACUUCGUG